CACCUUCAAUUGCUUCGCUUUUCUCUAGUCACAUCGACCUAGAUGUAGAGGAAGACCAACAAAUGGAGUCGUUUGACCAUAUGAUGUCUCACUCCGUCACUGCUUAUGUGUGUUUCUUGCGUGAUAGAUGCGGAAGCGAUAGGUAGGUAAGCAAGGCGGAGGGUCGGGUGGCUCUAGCACUCCGGCGGCAAAGACAGGCCACCCUUUUAGAAGCGUUGAUACAACUGACUGGCGAUCGGUCACCACUACCACUAAUCUCCUUCUUCCACCGUUGCUUACGGUGUUCUCUUUUUCCUCUCCCAAUGAAAUUCAUUCUUUACAGGCAUCCCUUUUGAUCUUCCAACUUUUAUCUCUCCGUCUAUUCCACACUAUCUGGGUUUAUUUCCGGAUCUGACUUCAUUUUUUUUGUUCGUUUCCGACUUCUUGGGGUUUAUCCUUCCGCCUUGUCGUCAAGUGAGGGUUUAUCGAUUAAUUUUACCGUCCGUUUUUCAUUUCGAUUUUCUCCAUAAGGGUAACGUUUCACUUAAGGAUUUAUUUUCCCUUUUUUGAAAUCGCAAUUGGACUUGAAUGGCUGCUGGUCACCAGAUAUAUAAUAAUCUACUUCUUGUCUGAUGGGUCUAUUUCUUUUUCUUUUAUUUGAUUGGUUUUGAUUUCUGUUUGCUUAAGUAGCUUUCAGACCAUCAGCAAGAACAACUGUAGUCUCUACCUGUGGAGCUUUGGGAAUCAUGAAGAGAUAACGUCGAAGUUAUCAACGUCUCUCAAUUCCUGUGGAUAAAAACCCUCAAGGCAGCUUCAGUCGAGGACAUGAUUCAUAUAAGAGCAUCGUCUUCCUUUUUAUGACUUUCAAAUUUCAGUUCUUAUCCUUAUGGCACCAUAUUUGUGCUUAUGUUGGCUUUUUUUUUGGGCUGUUUGAAUCUCAGAUUGUUAAUGACUUCAUUUGAAGAUCAUUGAGCUUAGGAUUCCAGUUUGUUAAUAGGGUGAUAAAG
rnacentral:lncRNA from 1 species